AGCGAACGCUGGCGGCAGGCUUAACACAUGCAAGUCGAGCGGGCAUCCUUGUGGUGUCAGCGGCAGACGGGUGAGUAACGCGUGGGAACGUGCCCUUCGGUUCGGAAUAACUCAGGGAAACUUGAGCUAAUACCGGAUACGCCCUCUUGGGGAAAGGUUUACUGCCGAAGGAUCGGCCCGCGUCUGAUUAGCUAGUUGGUGAGGUUAUGGCUCACCAAGGCGACGAUCAGUAGCUGGUCUGAGAGGAUGAUCAGCCACACUGGGCCUGAGACACGGCCCAGACUCCUACGGGAGGCAGCAGUGGGGAAUAUUGGACAAUGGGGGCAACCCUGAUCCAGCCAUGCCGCGUGAGUGAUGACGGCCUUAGGGUUGUAAAGCUCUUUUCUCCGGGACGAUAAUGACGGUACCGGAGGAAUAAGCCCCGGCUAACUUCGUG
rnacentral:rRNA from 1 species